rnacentral:rRNA from 1 species
GAUGAACGCUGGCGGCGUGCCUAACACAUGCAAGUCGAGCGGGAUUUUCCGGAUUGAAGCUUCGGUAGAUUGAAGGAAAUGAGAGCGGCGGACGGGUGAGUAACGCGUAGGCAACCUGCCCUUUGCAGAGGGAUAGCCAUUGGAAACGAUGAUUAAAAACCUCAUAAUGCCACGAAGUGACAUCGCUUUGUGGCCAAAGAUUUAUCGGCAAAGGAUGGGCCUGCGUCUGAUUAGCUGGUUGGUGAGGUAACGGCUCACCAAGGCGACGAUCAGUAGCCGACCUGAGAGGGUGAUCGGCCACAUUGGAACUGAGACACGGUCCAAACUCCUACGGGAGGCAGCAGUGGGGAAUAUUGCACAAUGGGCGAAAGCCUGAUGCAGCAACGCCGCGUGAGCGAAGAAGG